rnacentral:rRNA from 1 species
CUACACAUGCAAGUCGAGCGAUCCAGCCCUUAGCAUAGCUAAGAGCUAGAUAGCGGCGGACGGGUGAGUAACGCGUGGGGAACCUGCCUUGUAGAAGGGGAUAGCCUCGGGAAACCGGGAUUAAUACCCCAUAAAACUUAAAUAUCGCAUGAUAAAAAAGUCAAAACAUAAGUGCUACAAGAUGGUCCCGCGUCCCAUUAGCUAGUUGGUGAGAUAACAGCCCACCAAGGCGACGAUGGGUAGCCGAUCUGAGAGGGUGAACGGCCACAUUGGGACUGAGACACGGCCCAAACUCCUACGGGAGGCAGCAGUGGGGAAUAUUGCGCAAUGGGGGAAACCCUGACGCAGCAACGCCGCGUGAGCGAAGAAGGCCUUCGGGUCGUAAAGCUCUGUCUUAAGGGAAGAAGAAGUGACAGUACCUUAAGAGGAAGCCCCGGCUAACUACGUGCCAGCAGCCGCGGUAACACGUAGGGGACAAGCGUUGUCCGGAAUUACUGGGCGUAAAGGGUGCGUAGGCGGCCAAAUAAGUCAGAUGUGAAAGUCCAGGGCUUAACCGUGGAAUCGCAUUUGAAACUGUAUGGCUUGAGUGCAGGAGAGGAGAGCGGAAUUCCUAGUGUAGUGGUGAAAUGCGUAGAUAUUAGGAAGAACACCAGUGGCGAAGGCGGCUCUCUGGACUGUAACUGACGCUGAGGCACGAAAGCGUGGGGAGCGAACAGGAUUAGAUACCCUGGUAGUCCACGC